GGAAUAACAAUUACAAUCAUGAAAUCAUAAUUAACUCAAGAUUAAGAUUACAGUAAAAUCAACGCCUAUGAGAUUUAAUAAGUCUGACAGUUAUUACAAAGUUAAUUAAAUCUCAUAUGUGAUCCUAUUCAAUGUAGUCGUACUACAUUGAUAAAUUCAUACAUGAUUAAGAUAAAUCAUUCAAUGAAUUUAUUACAGUCUAUACCUAAAUAAAGUGCCCAACUUUAUUUAUCAACUGCGAACUAAAUUUAUUUAAUCAUAAGAUAACUUGUAUUUAUGUCUUCUGUGAAUCCACAUGGUGAUUACAUAAAUACAUAUAAUAUGAUUAAAUGGACUUUAAUACAAAUAUUAAUGCAAUUAAGAUAUUUGAAUAAAAUACCUCAUUUAUUUUAUUAAUCAGAAAAAUUAUUUAUUACAAUUAAAUAAACACAUAUGCUUUUAAAGAGCAUAUUUUUCCAACAAAUUAUGCAUACAGUUCAAGCUGAGGGAUACUGAUGUGAAGUGUAGGGACAUGGAUAUAUACUAUUGUUUACAUUACUUUACAGCCUUGAUGUAUUAUUUUAUUUGGCAAUCAUAUAGUCAUUGUCUGCACUACACUUUGUCUUCCCUACACUUGUCUCCACUUGAGUAUUCUUGAGUGGUAGCUGAGUCACAAGUCACCUUCUCAUGUCUGCUGGGCUUGUCUGUCCUGCUUGAUUUACUUUGUUCUAACACCCCCGCUCAAUCUCAGUUUUCUUAGCAAACUCUUAGGUCAUAUUUGGUUUGUAAAAAAGGGAGGAGAGGAAAAGAGUGGAAUAGAAAAGAAGAGAAAAGAAAGGAAUGGAGAAAAGCAGUGAAAUUA
rnacentral:lncRNA from 1 species